rnacentral:rRNA from 1 species
GAUGAACGCUAGCGGCAGGCUUAACACAUGCAAGUCGAGGGGUAGAGGAAGCUUGCUUCCUUGAGACCGGCGCACGGGUGCGUAACGCGUAUACAAUCUACCUUUUGCAGAGGGAUAGCCCAGAGAAAUUUGGAUUAAUACCUCAUAGUAUAGCAGUUUCGCAUGAAACCACUAUUAAAGUCACAACGGUGAAAGAUGAGCAUGCGUCCCAUUAGCUAGUUGGUAAGGUAACGGCUUACCAAGGCAACGAUGGGGUAAGGGUCCGUGAGAGGGAGAUCCCCCACACUGGUACUGAGACACGGACCAGACUCCUACGGGAGGCAGCAGUGAGGAAUAUUGGACAAUGGGCGCAAGCCUGAUCCAGCCAUGCCGCGUGCAGGAUGACGGUCCCUAUGGAUUGUAAACUGCUUUUAUACAGGAAGAAACACUACUUCGUGAAGUAGCUUGACGGUACUGUAAGAAUAAGGAUCGGCUAA